UACGUAGGGCGCAAGCGUUGUCCGGAAUUAUUGGGCGUAAAGAGCUCGUAGGCGGCUUGUCACGUCGAUUGUGAAAGCCCGGGGGCUUAACUCCGGGUCUGCAGUCGAUACGGGGCUAGCUAGAGUGUGGUAGGGGAGACUGGAAUUCCUGGUGUAGCGGUGGAAUGCGCAGAUAUCAGGAGGAACACCGAUGGCGAAGGCAGGUCUCUGGGCCACUACUGACGCUGAGAAGCGAAAGCAUGGGGAGCGAACAGG
rnacentral:rRNA from 1 species